rnacentral:rRNA from 1 species
AUGAGCAUGGGGCGCUACGCGGCCUCAACGGAUCCGGAGGCGGGCAGGGACGGGGACGGGGCCGUCCUGCUCCGCUCGCCCAGCGGGGCCACCGCGCGGGUGAGCCUGCACGGCGGGCAGGUCGUCUCCUGGAAGAACGACCGGGGAGAUGAGCUCCUCUUCACCAGCAGCAAGGCAAUCAUGAAGCCACCAAAGGCGAUGCGUGGCGGGAUUCCGAUAUGCUUUCCGCAGUUUGGGAACUGCGGGACCUUGGAGCGACAUGGAUUUGCGAGGAAUAGGAUGUGGGGCCUCGAUGAGGAGCAUCCGGCAUUGAGUCGCAGUGACAGUGGCAGCAGAUCUUUUGUUGACCUUAUCCUAAAGCCAUCUGAAGAGGACACGAAGAGCUGGCCACAUAGUUUCGAGUUCCGGCUGAGAAUCUCUCUCACAAAGGACGGUGACCUCUCACUAGUAUCGCGCAUCAGAAACGUUAAUGGCAAGCCAUUCAGUUUCUCAUUUGCCUACCACACAUACCUCUCAGUUUCAGACAUCAGCGAGGUGAGGAUAGAAGGCUUGGAGACCCUUGAUUAUCUGGACAAUCUCAGCCAGCGGGAACGCCAUACCGAACAAGGAGACGCCAUAACGUUCGAAUCAGAGGUCGACCGAGUGUACGUCAGCUCGCCGAACGUGAUAGCGGUGCUCGACCACGAGAAGAAGCGCACCUUCGUCAUCAGGAAGGAUGGCCUCCCCGACACCGUGGUGUGGAACCCGUGGGAGAAGAAGGCGAAGACGAUGGCGGACUUCGGGGACGAGGAGUACAAGCAGACGCUGUGCGUGGACGCGGCGGCGGCGGAGCGGCCCAUCACGCUGAGGCCCGGGGAGGAGUGGACGGGGAGGCUGGAGCUCUCCGCCGUGCCGUCGACCAACUGCAGCGACCACCUCGAUCAGCCCGGCAUCAUGUGA